rnacentral:rRNA from 1 species
AUUGAACGCUGGCGGCAGGCCUAACACAUGCAAGUCGAACGAGUGGCGGACGGGUGAGUAAUGUCUGGGAAACUGCCCGAUGGGGGGGGAUAACUACUGGAAACGGUAGCUAAUACCGCAUACCAUCGGAUGUGCCCAGAUGUGCUUAGCUAGUAGGUGGGGUAACGGCUCACCUAGGCGACGAUCCCUAGCUGGCCUGAGAGGAUGACCAGCAACACUGGAACUGGGACACGGUCAAGACCCCUACGGGAGGAAGCAGUGGGGAAUAUUGGACAAUGGGCGCAAGCCUGAUGCAGCCAUGCCGCGUGUAUGAAGAAGGCCUUCGGGUUGUAAAGUACUUUCAGCGAGGAGGCGGUACUCGCAGAAGAAGCACCGGCUAACUCCGUGCCAGCAGCCGCGGUAAUUC